GUACCUGUACGCAAUGCAUAGCGCGUUGGACUUAUAAUCCAAAUUUCGUGGGUUCGAAUCCCACCUGGGAUG